rnacentral:rRNA from 1 species
UACGUAGGGGGCUAGCGUUGUCCGGAUUUAUUGGGCGUAAAGAGCGUGUAGGCGGCCAGAUAGGUCCGUUGUGAAAACUGGAGGCUUAACCUCCAGCUGUCGAUGGAAACCAUCUGGCUAGAGUCCGGAAGAGGAGAGUGGAAUUCCUGGUGUAGCGGUGAAAUGCGCAGAUAUCAGGAAGAACACCCGUGGCUAAGGCGGCUCUCUAGUACGUGACUGACGCUGAGACGCGAAAGCGUGGGGAGCGAACAGG